rnacentral:tRNA from 1 species
GUGGCUGAAUGCUAAAGCGCUUAGGUUUCGAACCUGGAGUCCUGAGUUCGAAUCUCGGC